CGUCCUACGGGAGGCAGCAGUGGGAAUAUUGGACAAUGGACCAAAAGUCUGAUCCAGCAAUUCUGUGUGUUUGAUGAAGGCCUUCGGGGUUGUAAAGAACUUUCAGUGGGGAAGAAGCAAGUGACGGUACCCACAGAAGAAGCGACGGCUAAAUACGUGCCAGCAGCCGCGGUAAUACGUAUGUCGCAAGCGUUAUCCGGAAUUAUUGGGGCAUAAAGGGCGUCUAGGCGGUCUAAUAAGUCUGAUGUGAAAAUGCGGGCUCAACUCCGUAUUGCGUUGGAAACUGUUAGACUAGAGUUUUGGAGAGGUAGGCGGAACUACAAGUGUAGAGGUGAAAUUCGUAGAGAUUUGUAGGAAUGCCGAUGACGAAGGUAGCUUACUGGACAAAUACUGACGCUGAAGCGCGAAAGCUAGGGGAGCAAACAGGAUUAGAUACCCUGGUAG
rnacentral:rRNA from 1 species